rnacentral:lncRNA from 1 species
CGCCGCCGUUUCGGGUUUGGGGUCUCCCGGGGCUCCCCUAUGCGCGCACGCACCGAAGCAGUCGGCUCGUUGCUUAGAGGAGAAACGGCGAGGGGGGCACCCGGGGUGGGCAGAAAACAGCCCCAUGGCCACCCCAUAACCACCCCAUAACCACCCCAUAACCACCCUAUGACCAUCCCAUAACCAUCCCAUCACCACCCCAUGACCAUCCUAUAACCACCCCAUGGCCACCCCAUGGCCACCCCAUGGCCACCCCAUGGCACCCUGUGGCCACCCCAUGGCGCACCGGCCCCCCCAUUGCUCUGCACCACCCCAGCUCAACCCCACAGCUCUUUGGGGUGGCUCUGGCUUGGGGACGUGGAACUGGGGGGCUGUGGGAUUAGGGCAGAGCCCCCCCAGGACGGUGGGGGCCGGGUAGGGUGGGCUGCAGGCAGGAGGGAGCGGGGGGGGGAUCUGUGGGGUCCGCGCACGGCCAGAGGGACCCCAGGGGGGCACCACAGUCCAUGCAAGUGCUCUGUAGGGUCUGAAGGACCUGGGGAGGCCACCCCAGUUUAGGGACAGCAGUUUGUAGGACCGAGGGGGGCGCAGAAGGAUGAGGGGGGGGGUCCAUGCACGGCAGUCGAUGGGACUGGAGGGUCCAUGGGACAUCAGUAGGGUCCAUGCGCGGUGGGUCUGUAGGGCCAUUAGGACCACCGGGGACAUCAGUCCAUGCUCUGUAGGAUUUUGAGGACCUCAGGAGGCUGGGGGGGGGCAUGGGUGGGACCGGGGGGGGGGGGGGCGGCCGACCGGGGGGGGCCAGGGAGGGGGGGUUGAUGGAGCGGGGGGACCGUGCAGGGCCAGCGGGGGCCAUAUAGGACCAGAGGGACCACCGGGGGCCACCACAAGGUCCUGGUGGUCUGUAGGGCUGGGGGGGCCACCAGGAGAGGGCAACCCCUGGGGGUGGCGGCUCCGGGGGUCCCUCAGCCCCCAGGUGCUGGUGCAGGGCGCUGGGGGGGGGGUUUUGGGGGGCCCAGGGGGCGCGCCCGCACACCGAGGCGUGCGGCUCGGAGCACCCCGUGCGCGUCCCGCCCCCGGUGCCACCCUCCGGCCGCCAGCCCCUCGCUCUCCAAAAGCUGUGGUUUGUCCCCAAAUCAUCCCAUCAUAAUGGGGGGGCAGCGGUCGUGCCCUCUGCUCUCCUUUUUUGGGGUCACUCGGACACAGGGACCGUGGCACCGUCCCCAUCCCUUUGGGGU